GAAAUAUAUAAUUAAAUUGAAAUUAAGCUGCUAACUUAAUUUUUAGUGGUUAAAUUCCAUUAAUAUUUCU
rnacentral:tRNA from 1 species